rnacentral:rRNA from 1 species
GGUUCUGAUAAACGCUGAAAGCAUCUAAGCGUGAAGCAGGCUUCAAGAUAAGAUUUCCCUUGCCGAAAGGCAAUAAGGUCACUUGCAGACUACAAGUUUGAUAGGUCACAGGUGUAAGCGCAGUAAUGCGUUCAGCUGAGUGAUACUAAUAGACCGAGCGCUUGAACUUC